rnacentral:rRNA from 1 species
GAGAGGAACUUGUUCCUCGAGUCGUUGAUUUCACACUGCCGAGAAAAGCCUCUAGCUAGAAUAACGGUGCCCGUACCGCAAACCGACACAGGUAGUCAAGAUGAGAAUUCUAAGGUGAGCGAGCGAACUCUCGUUAAGGAACUCGGCAAAAUGACCCCGUAACUUCGGGAGAAGGGGUGCUCUUUGAGGUUCACGCUUCGAAGAGCCGCAGUGAAUAGGCCCAAGCGACUGUUUAUCAAAAACACAGGUCUCUGCUAAACCGUAAGGUGACGUAUAGGGGCUGACGCCUGCCCGGUGCUGGAAGGUUAAGAGGAGUGGUUAGCGCAAGCGAAGCUACGAAUCGAAGCCCCAGUAAACGGCGGCCGUAACUAUAACGGUCCUAAGGUAGCGAAAUUCCUUGUCGGGUAAGUUCCGACCCGCACGAAAGGCGUAACGAUUUGGGCACUGUCUCAACGAGAGACUCGGUGAAAUCAUAGUACCGGUGAAGAUGCCGGUUACCCGCGACAGGACGGAAAGACCCCGUGGAGCUUUACUGUAGCCUGAUAUUGAAAUUCGGUACAGUUUGUACAGGAUAGGUAGGAGCCUUAGAAGCGUGAGCGCUAGCUUACGUGGAGGCAUUGGUGGGAUACUACCCUAAUUGUAUUGGAUUUCUAACCCGCAGCACUUAUCGUGCUGGGAGACAGUGUCAGGCGGGCAGUUUGACUGGGGCGGUCGCCUCCUAAAGAGUAACGGAGGCGCUCAAAGGUUCCCUCAGAAUGGUUGGAAAUCAUUCAUAGAGUGUAAAGGCAUAAGGGAGCUUGACUGCGAGACCUACAAGUCGAGCAGGGUCGAAAGACGGA